UGGAGUGGCGACUGCAACGGUCAGAAUCUGCUUUUAAAAGAUGUUUCUCAUCAGAAAUCAUCUGAAGCUGAGCAACUGGAACAUUCUCUCUUUGGGCCUCAUCCAGUAUGGUGGCAGUCCAUAUCAUUCUCAACACUCAACUGUGCUCUUACCCAAGUAGCCUCAUCUUGAUGCUUCUUUCAUUACACUGAACAUCAUUGUCUGAACAUCAGCUAUGCGUGAGAGCUGGGUGCCACGCUGGAGUUCAUGCAUAGGUAUAAUUUAAA